AGGAGCCCAGAGCCUGAAUCAGUGUGUGUGUUAGUGGAAGCGUCUGGAAAGGCGCGCGAUACAGGGUGACAGCCCCGUACACAAAAAUGCACAUACUGUGAGCUCGAUGAGUAGGGCGGGACACGUGGUAUCCUGUCUGAAUAUGGGGGGACCAUCCUCCAAGGCUAAAUACUCCUGACUGACCGAUAGUGAACCAGUACCGUGAGGGAAAGGCGAAAAGAACCCCGGCGAGGGGAGUGAAAAAGAACCUGAAACCGUGUACGUACAAGCAGUGGGAGCCUCUUUAUGGGGUGACUGCGUACCUUUUGUAUAAUGGGUCAGCGACUUAUAUUCUGUAGCAAGGUUAACCGAAUAGGGGAGCCGAAGGGAAACCGAGUCUUAACUGGGCGUUAAGUUGCAGGGUAUAGACCCGAAACCCGGUGAUCUAGCCAUGGGCAGGUUGAAGGUUGGGUAACACUAACUGGAGGACCGAACCGACUAAUGUUGAAAAAUUAGCGGAUGACUUGUGGCUGGGGGUGAAAGGCCAAUCAAACCGGGAGAUAGCUGGUUCUCCCCGAAAGCUAUUUAGGUAGCGCCUCGUGAAUUCAUCUCCGGGGGUAGAGCACUGUUUCGGCAAGGGGGUCAUCCCGACUUACCAACCCGAUGCAAACUGCGAAUACCGGAGAAUGUUAUCACGGGAGACACACGGCGGGUGCUAACGUCCGUCGUGAAGAGGGAAACAACCCAGACCGCCAGCUAAGGUCCCAAAGUCAUGGUUAAGUGGGAAACGAUGUGGGAAGGCCCAGACAGCCAGGAUGUUGGCUUAGAAGCAGCCAUCAUUUAAAGAAAGCGUAAUAGCUCACUGGUCGAGUCGGCCUGCGCGGAAGAUGUAACGGGGCUAAACCAUGCACCGAAGCUGCGGCAGCGACACUAUGUGUUGUUGGGUAGGGGAGCGUUCUGUAAGCCUGUGAAGGUGUGCUGUGAGGCAUGCUGGAGGUAUCAGAAGUGCGAAUGCUGACAUAAGUAACGAUAAAG
rnacentral:rRNA from 1 species